rnacentral:rRNA from 1 species
AUGUUUGUCGACGGGUCAUUAAAACAGAAAACGGUGAUGGGUGAGAAUUACUUAUCGAUGACUCGGGCAUCAACUCUUGAUUUUCGGCGGAAGACGCAGGGUCAGAACAACUGGUCUGGGCCGUUGCGCCCAGUAAAUGUCAUCAGAAAUAAAUUCCCUACCUACAAGAAUGGUUCGAAUGGGAUAGUCAUCAAAUUUGCAGAUGAGCCAGAAACGCCAUCACUUAAGGAGUCUGUUGCCGAAGAGACAGCAGAUCUGCUUGAUCGGCGUCAGCGUCUUUCAGUCCGCGAGCUCGCAAUGAAAUUUGAGAAGGGCCUCAGUACUGCCACAUUAUUGUCUAACGAGGUUAAAUGUAAACAAGUGGCUUUAUUGGAGCGAGACAUCCUUCUGAAGAAUCUAAAGAGUGUAUUGGAGUCACUGAGAGGUCAAGUAGCUGGCAAAUAUAAGGAUGAAAUCGAGGAAUCAGUAUCUAUGGUGGAUAUUUUAGCAGUUCAGCUGUCCAAAAGAGAAAAUGAGUUGCUUCAGCAGAAAACCGAGGUCACGAGAAUAGCGACUUCACUGAAACUGGCUUCUGAAGAUGCUAGGAGAAUUGUUGACGAAGAACGAACUAAUGCCCGCGCGGAGAUUGAAAAUGCUAGAGCUGCUUUACAAAGAGUUCAAAAAGUACUUAAAGAGAAAGAGAACAGUUCACAAAGAAUUGGGAAGCAGGAUGUGGAUGAACUUAGGGAAAAAGUUCAAGAAGCACGGAGAGUCAAGAUGCUGCAUUGCCCCAGCAAGGCAAUGGACAUAAAAAGUGAGAUCUAUGUUCUACGUGAUCAAUAUGCUGAGAUAUCUUCAAGUUCUGCUCAUCUUUUAAAAGAGUUGGAGUUGCACCAAAGUUUUAAGGAAAAUGGCGUGCCCUCAUGUGAGUUGGAGGGUCUCGAAAGCCUAGGCUCAAUGCUGCGGGUAGUUGUCCGGAAUGAUGUGGCUUUAUCAAAUAGUUCAGUACAAUGGUUCCGUAUACAGCCCAAGGGACACAAGAAGGAAAUCAUUUCCGGUGCCACAAAGCUAGUAUAUGCUCCAGAACCUCAUGACGUAGGGCGGUACCUGCAAGCUGAGGUUAACCUUGGUGGUGAAACCUCUGUCGCAAAGACUGCUGGCCCACUAGACCCUGCGCCAGGUUUGGUUGAUUAUGUAGAGACCCUUGUAAGGAAUCCCGAAACCGACUACAAUGUUGUUGUCCUUCAAAUGAACGGAAUCGACCAACCUACUGACUCCAUCCACGUCCUAUGCAUCGGGAAACUGCGGAUGCGACUUGCCAAAGGAACGACAGUCAUAGCCAGGGAAUUCUACUCUUCGUCGAUGCAGCUAUGCGGCGUUAGGGGCGGCGGAGACGCUGCGCCGCAAGCGAUGUUCUGGCAGCCCAGGGAAGGCCUCAGCUUGGUGUUGGCUUUCGAGACGCCCAGGGAGCGCAACUCGGCGAUCAUGCUCGCCCGGAGAUUCGCCAUCGAUUGCAACAUUAUCCUCGCCGGUCCAGGGGACAAAACUCCGUGGUGA